UGGCUCAGUUGGUAGAGCAUGGUGUUGGUGUUUGCAGCACCAGGGUUGUGGGUUUGAUUCCCAC
rfam:Salmo salar isolate Sally breed double haploid chromosome ssa05, whole genome shotgun sequence.